UACGGAGGGUGCAAGCGUUAAUCGGAAUUACUGGGCGUAAAGCGCACGCAGGCGGUCAAUUAAGUCAGAUGUGAAAGCCCCGAGCUUAACCUGGGAACUGCAUUCGAAACUGGCAGGCUAGAGUCUUGUAGAGGGGGGUAGAAUUCCAGGUGUAGUGGUGAAAUGCGUAGAGAUCUGGAGGAAUACCGGUGGCGAAGGCGGCCCCCUGGACAAAGACUGACGCUCAGGUGCGAAAGCGUGGGGAGCAAACAGG
rnacentral:rRNA from 1 species